GCCCGGGCCACGCCCCUACCCUUUUCCCCCCUUCUUCCCCCCUCGUAAGGGGGGCGUGGAGGGAACCAGGAUCAGCCAGGGGCCAGCAUGAGCCGGAGGGAGGGAAGUCUGGGUAAGGGGCUGAAGGGUCGGAUGCCGAGCGCCCGCGGGGACCAGGGGUCAGAAGGGCUGGAAGCUGGGGUCCGGGUCACCGCCACCCCUAAGUCGGGGAAGGGAGCGGCCUGAGCGGGGGAGAACAGGGCAGCGGUGUCAGGUAACGAGCGGAGGACCCCCAGGCUGACUCCUCAGCCUCACCCCUUCCCCACUUGGAGGCCAAGAUCCAACAGACACACAGCCUUGCCCGCCUCCUCACCAAAUAUGCUGAGCAGCUUCUCCAGGAAUAUGUACUGAAACCCUCUCUGGGUGGCACAAGCUGUGGUAUGCUGCCCUCAAACAUGUGGACCCCAGACCAGCUGGAUCUGAAAUUUGAAUACGUUAAUUUCUGCUUGACACCACCAACGCAUCAGGAAAAUGUUCACGAGCCAAUCCCAUCAUCUUUUACUAGGAAACUUCUCAGUAUCUUCCCAAGCUGUGACACAUGGCUUGUGGAAUCUUCGUUCUCUGACCAGGGAUUGAGCCCAGGUCCUCAGCAGUGAAAGCACGGAGUCCUCAUUACUGGACUGCAGGGACGUCCCGUCACUAACAUUGAGCACUGACUGAUGGCCUGUUCUAAGCUCUUUCCAUUGAAUAACAUAUCCUUUACAAACCCCAUGGAGUGGCUAGCACUGUUUCCCCAUUUCACAGAUGAGGAAAACUGAGGCACAGCAAGGUUCCGUGAAUAGUUCUGGGUCACACAGCUAGGAUUAGAAUUGGGCUCCAAAGUCAGAGCUCUUUACCAUUAUCAGUGUCUCUAGCCUCCGGGCCUGACACUUUGCAACCUGUGAGACUUUCCACAGUCCUUGUCCCCUGGUUCUCUUCAGGAAACUGACAGGGGACUACAUUUCACAGAUGAGGUGCAGAGGAAGGAAAGGAAUCCCAUUUUUUAGCCUCUAUUAUGUCACCAGUCACUUGAUACAUAGAUAGUAUCUCAUGACCCUGGGAAGUAGGUUUAUGGUUAUUAUUCCCACUUUUACAGAAGAGGUUCAGUGACUUGUCACGAUCACACAGAAUACAUUGUAGAGGCCUUGGGCUCAGGGCUGGUCCCUGUCAUCCCACAGUUCCUUUGGUGUCCCCUUCGCAGGACAUGUUUGGAUACCACAGUGAGAAUGGGAGGCACAGAGGAAGCACCGCUCUGCGUCUAGGUUCUAACCCAGUCCAGGUCUGGUGCUUGGCAUCCCCUGGAAUCCAGCUAAGUGUCACCUCUGCUUCCAGGGCAACUCUGGGAUUGAUGAGGAGGGCCAGAGGUAGGGGAAGAGCACAGAUGGGAAACUAGGGUGUCGACUUCAAAAUGAGAAGUGGAAUUUUCCUGGUGGUCUAGUAUUUAGGAUUCUGGGCUUCCGUUACCGUGGCCCAGGUUCAAUCCCUGGUUGGGGAACUGAGAUCCCAUAAGUCAUGAGGCUCCGACCAAAAAAAAAAAUACCCCCACUUUGCAUUAUCCCCAGUGACCUCCUUGGGGAAUCUGUGCUCACAGUCUCCCAACUUUAGGUCCUGUGAGUCUAUAGAGUCUAAAUCCUAGAUUGGGGAGGGACCAUUCUACCAGGGGACACAGCCAAAUCCCAUUAAAUUUAGAGGUACAUCUGCCACGUGGUCACUUGCAUCUCCUCCUGCCAAUAGACCAGCAGGCAACAAAAGGACAUGCCAUACUGUUGCAGGAAGGGGGACUCCCUCCAGGACCCGAGAGAGGGCUCUUGUGUAACAUUCGGGAUGAGUUGUCCAAGGAGACACACGAGCUGACAAAGCGAUAGACUGUAUUGGGAAGGGACGCCCAGGCAGAGAGCAGAAGUGAAAGAGAACCCAGGAGAACUGAUCUGUCCCGUGGCUCCCAGUCUCGGGUUUUAUGGUGAUGGGGUUUGUUUCCAGAUUUCUGUGGCCAAUCACUCUGAUUCAGCAUCCUUCCUGGUGGAGCACCUAUGGCUCAGCCAAGAUGGAUGCCAGUAAGAAGGAUUCUGGGAGGUGGUAGAAUGCAUGGCAUCUCCUUCUGACCUUUCCUGAACUCUUCUGGUUGGUGGUGGCUUGUUAGUUCCAUCUUCCUUUCUAGGACUUCUGUUGUAAAAUAACUCACGCAAAUGGUCACUAUGGUGUCUGGCUAGGGUAGGCGAUUUCGAUCAGUGUGCUUCUCCUAACAAUAUGGAUAGGCAGAGGGUAACAGACUAUGUUCAGAACAGGAAGUAGGACCAGGGCUGUGUAAUGGGGGACAGCAGGAAUAUGCUUAGCAUUCAGGUGAUCGCUUGGAAUAUCUCCAGCUACCCAUGCUGAGGUGUUUUUUUUUUUUAAUUGUAUUUAUUUAUUUUUAUUUGUUAUUUUGGCUGUGCUAGGUCUUCAUUGCUGUGUGGGGGCUUUCUCUAGUUUCAGAGAGCAGGGCCUAUUUUCCUGUUGAGGUUUGUGGGCUUCUCAUCGCGGUGGCUUCCCUUGUUGCAGAGCACAGGCUCUCGGCAUGCAGGCUUCAGUGGUGGCUGCACAUGGACUCAGUAGCUGUGGCUCUCGGACUUAGGUGCUCCGAGGCAUGUGGGAUCUUUCCGGACCAGGGAUCGAACUGGUGUCCCCUGCAUUGCCAGGCAGAUUCUUAACCACUAGACCACCAGGGCAGCCCCCAUGCUAAGUUUUAUUUGUAAGUGAGCAAGUACCAUUGUCACGGGCUCAGAAAGCAUGCUAACUAGGGACUCAGACCCUUCAGGAGUGAGGGCCAGGCUCAAUCCCCCAGACAAAGUGCAGAGACCAGCAGAACCACUAGCUGAAGCCAGGAGCAGAAAGGAGGGGCUGGGCUAGAAUGAGUGGGUGUAGAGGAGAGAGCUGAGAGAUAUCAGCUGUGUCUAGAGCUAAUCCUCCUUUCCUAAGUUUACCCAGAAAUGAUGAUCAAGCAGAAUCCUGGGGAAGUUGUACUGGGAUGAAGAGAACUUAAUAGGAGAAACAAGUAGAUCUGAACAGCGCCAAAGUGCACUGCAGGACAUUGUUGGUGCCCCACUCAGAUUCUUUUGCCAACAGCACACCCUUCUCCCAUGUCCCCCUCCUCUGGAGAACUGCCCAGUACCUCUCCUGCUGGAAGAAUUUGGCCAGUGGUGAAACUAACUUCGUGAUACAAUUUUGGCCCCAAACUUUCUCUAGAUCAAAUGUGGUCAGUUGAGAUCACAUAUUUGCUCAGCUUUUUAUCACCGACAUACCUUGAUAACCCUAUUUUUCUGAGAACAUUUCCCCAGUCGCUUGAUCCAGAAUUUCCAUCAUGGACUAUAUCAAACUCAAAAGCUUCUGCACAGCAGAAGGACCAAUUAACAAAAUGAAAAGACAGCCUAUGGAAAGGAGGAAAAUGUUUGAAAAUCAUAUAUCAACGGGGAUUAAUAUCUAAAAAUGUAAAGAACUUAGUGUAGCAAGAAAAAAUAAAAUAAAGAGGAGGGCACUUCCCUGGUGGUGCCAUGGAUAUGAAUCCGCCUGCCAGUGCAGGGGACUUGGGCUCAUCCCUAGUCCAGGAAGAUUCCACAUGCUGAGGAGCAACUACGCUCUCACAGCCAUAAAUCAAUACUCACCAUUUAAAAAAUACAAUAAGAAUCAUCUCAUCCAGGUGAGAAAAUGGAGUUUCAAAGAGGUGAUAUUACACAAUGCCACAAAGAUAGAGAUGAUGCUGAAAGCUCAACUUCUCUGUACACCAGUCCUGAAUAAAGUCUCAGAGACAGAGUUUUGGGUAAAGUAGAAAAGGAGCACUUUAUUGCUUUGACAGGCAAAGGGGGACACAGUGGCUUCACGCCCUCAAAAACAUCUGUCCCCCAUUUGGGGAAGAUAGUGAAACGUUUUAUAGCAAUUGUUCAGAGAGGGCAUGAUCAACUUGUAACAUUCUUCUUCUUUUUUCUUUUAUUUUUUAUGAUAUUGUAUUAGCCGUACAUGAAUAGUAUGAACAUUCUUCUGAUGGGUUGGUGGUGAGGUAAGUAGGGGUUCAUGGUCUCAAAUCAGGUCCAACUGGUCAGGUGUCUCCAUGCUUGUGGGCAGCUUACCGUUGUUAACCAUCAAAUUAUCCCACCUAGAGGGGGUUUGGUACCUGCAAAAUAGCUCAAAGAUAUUGUGUGCAUCCCUUGAUGGGGAAUCAGGCUCUUGGCUCAAGGCUACUCUUAAGUUUCUUGGCUUCUCCCUGGUUUUGCAUCCAUGCCCUUCCCCAGUGAACAACUGUUUGAAUCUGCCCAUUAGAACUCAGGGAAGACCAUGGAGCCUGAAUGAAUGUUGUUUCCUAUCAUCAAAGAAAUGCAGGAGGAGACUUCCCUCGUGGUCCAGUGGCUGGGACCACAUGGUCACAAGCAGGGGGCCCGGGUUUGAUCCCUUGUCAGGGAAUAGAUCCCACAUGCUUCAUCCCAGUGCAGCCAAAUACAUAAAUAUUUUAAACAAAAAAAAGGGAGGACACAAAGACCUUGUGUCCAGGAGCCCCACAGGGCCCUGCACCGAGGUAAGGCCACAUCUCCACACGGAGUCUCAUUCUAGAUUUCAGUGGAAAAAAGAAUCCCCUGGGUUACUCUUACAAAUAUAGAUUCUUGAUUCCCACUCACACAUUCCAUAGGUUCUAAGGAGCCCCUAGUGGUAAUGAACCCACCUCCCAAUGUAGGAGACUUAAGAGAUGUGGAUUUGAUCCCUGGGUCGGGAAGAUACCCUGGAGGAAGGUACAGCAACCCACUCCAGUAUUCUUGCCUGGA